GAUGAACGCUGGCGGCGUGCCUAAUACAUGCAAGUCGAGCGAACAGACGAGGAGCUUGCUCCUCUGACGUUAGCGGCGGACGGGUGAGUAACACGUGGAUAACCUACCUAUAAGACUGGGAUAACUUCGGGAAACCGGAGCUAAUACCGGAUAAUAUAUUGAACCGCAUGGUUCAAUAGUGAAAGACGGUUUUGCUGUCACUUAUAGAUGGAUCCGCGCCGCAUUAGCUAGUUGGUAAGGUAACGGCUUACCAAGGCAACGAUGCGUAGCCGACCUGAGAGGGUGAUAGGCCACACGGGAACUGAGACACGGUCCAGACUCCUACGGGAGGCAGCAGUAGGGAAUCUUCCGCAAUGGGCGAAAGCUUGACGGAGCAACGCCGCGUGAGUGAUGAAGGUCUUCGGAUCGUAAAACUCUGUUAUUAGGGAAGAACAAAUGUGUAAGUAACUAUGCACGUCUUGACGGUACCUAAUCAGAAAGCCACGGCUAACUACGUG
rnacentral:rRNA from 1 species